UUGUUAGGAUUCGACGCCAUAUCGACGAAAGGUGCUAACGCAUCACAAUUUAGGUAUACCCAAACGUCCUGGAUAAGGACGCAACGUUUGAACUACACAGGAUCUUCAAUCAA